AUGCAAUCAUUUUCUAAACAUUUUACAUCUGUCAGUAUAAACAACUGCCUUGAGCCUCACAUAUCUUUCGCUACCAUGAAGGACCCAUGUCAGCUGAAGUGUACAGCAGCAUGCUUUCUCCAAACUUAUCAAGUUUACUGCACCCUCUCUCCUCUGGCCUGCUACUCAUCCUUUCUUGGUUGUGAUGUGCCUGGAAAACAGGAGAUUUGGUCGGGUAUUAAGGCUGAAAGAUUGAUGAAGUCCAGAAAGUUGCAACAUGAGACAAGAAGAGGGACAAGGUGAUUUCGGCAAAAACCAUCUUGAGUUUCCUAGGAAAAUGAUGAAGACUGGAAGAAAGCCUAAUUUGCCUCAGAAAUGCAAAGGCAUCUCAGGACUGGGCUGUCGACUUUUCUGGAAUGAGAUUCUGAAGCACUGUAGCUCUCACUUCACCCAUCCCCCCACCAUAAACACGUGCAUGACUCACUGUGGAAAUGUAAAGUUCCAUGCCUAAUGACGUCAGUAUCUCAAUUUAGAAUUUUACACCUGAUGAAAGACUCAGUUUUCUCUCCCUUUCAGUUUGUUCUGUGAAUUGGUGGGGUUUUUUUGGGUACAUAUUUCUAUCUUCUGCACAGGGUUAUGGACAACUUUCAAUUGUACCCCUGGCAAGACUCAUCACAGUAGCUUGCUCAUUGUGAGAGCUUAAUAAAUACUCUUAAUUUAAGAAAUGAAAUUUUCUG
rnacentral:lncRNA from 1 species